rnacentral:rRNA from 1 species
UACGGAGGGGGCUAGCGUUGUUCGGAAUUACUGGGCGUAAAGGGCGCGUAGGCGGCCAUCUAAGUCAGACGUGAAAUCCCCCGGCUUAACCUGGGAACUGCGUCUGAUACUGGACGGCUCGAGUAUGGGAGAGGGAUGUAGAAUUCCAGGUGUAGCGGUGAAAUGCGUAGAUAUCUGGAGGAAUACCGGUGGCGAAGGCGGCAUCCUGGACCAUUUACUGACGCUGAGGCGCGAAAGCUAGGGGAGCAAACGGG